rnacentral:rRNA from 1 species
CAGUCGCCGCGGUAAGACAGAGGAUGCAAGCGUUAUCCGGAAUGAUUGGGCGUAAAGCGGGCGCAGACGGUUACUUAAGCAGGAUGUGAAAUCCCCGGGCUCAACCUGGGAAUUGCGUUCUGAACUGGGUGGCUAGAGUGUGUCAGAGGGGGGUAGAAUUCCACGUGUAGCAGUGAAAUGCGUAGAGAUGUGGAGGAAUACCGAUGGCGAAGGCAGCCCCCUGGGAUAGCACUGACGUUCAUGCCCGAAAGCGUGGGUAGCAAACAGGAUUAGAUACCCCUGUAGUCCCUGUCUCUUAUAC